rnacentral:rRNA from 1 species
UACGUAGGGGGCGAGCGUUGUCCGGAUUUAUUGGGCGUAAAGAGCGUGUAGGCGGCCAGGUAGGUCUGCUGUGAAAACUCGAGGCUCAACCUCGAGACGUCGGCGGAAACCAUCUGGCUAGAGUCCGGAAGAGGAGAGUGGAAUUCCUGGUGUAGCGGUGAAAUGACGCAGAUAUCAGGAGGAACACCGGUGGCGAAGGCGGUUCUCUGGCAUGAUCUGACGCUGGAGGAGCGAAAGUGUGGGAGCGAACAGG